CCACACACAAGGCCCUCUCGGUGACCCACUCCAGCUCACGAGAAACACCCAUUUUGUCGCACAUGGUUCCUUUGCCCAUCUGCACAUCGUUUCAGACAAGCCUCCUUCGUCUUCGUUUCUGGUACUUUUGCGUUGCAGGGCUGGCGAGGCUUCCGGUGCCGACGGACAUUACUGAGGUGUGGCAUGGCAUGACAUGGCAUUGGUAAGAUGGUUUUGCUCAAGACCGCGCAACACUUCCAUAUGACGGCGCAUCGCUGUGCUCGCCUAUCCAUCAUGGAGGAAGGGAGGAGGCGAUAGGGCUGGACGUCGAUGCGCUGCUCUAUGGCCAGGCUGCGCGGUUCUUGCGCAACAUCUCGCACCACCUGUUCCCUCUCUUCUUCCUCUCGUCUCGCUCGCUCUUUUGAAUCUUGGAAGGCACUGACAUGGUUUUAGAUGAUGAGAAGUUUUCGGAGAAUGUAUUGUCACAGGCUCUUUGAUCGUCUCCCUCCUUUGGAGCUUUCGUGCAAGCAUCGAGCUUCGUAAGAGAGGUUUGUCUCACAUCAAAUUCAUCUACUCUCCUCGGAGCCAAAAAGAACCCAAGGAAGGAAACAAGCAAGGCUGCAGCGCACUUCUCUCUUCUACAAAGCAUCCAGCUUCGCAAGGGGAGUAGUAGGGUUUCUGUCACCACCAGGUUUGGCCGGCUGACUCCAACUUUUGUUCCCCAUCUUUUCAGUAGAGACGUAGCAGAACGUGAGCUGGAAGCGGAUGUGAUUGAGGAGACGGCGAGCAGAACGGCUGUCCUCCCAACACGCAGCAGCCAAUUCCGCUCUUUCAAGUCGGGCAUGAACCGGCCCUGAUCUCAGGUUCGGCAAAGAUUCGAGCGAAUGGCCGUGUGCUGCACGUUGGAAUGUCCCAUUCUUUGGUCCACUCAUCUGCUUCCUGCUUAGUCCAUUACAUGAAGGUCGAUUUCACUGCAGCAAUAUUGGCUGGUUAUAUGCGAUGUGCUGAGGACAUGACUCACCUCACCCAACCUUAUCAUCUUCUUCGAAAGGCGUAACUUAAGCAUUGUAAUUAGAAUUCCACCCUUUUCUGGAGGUGUGCAUAUAUAAGACUAUAUAUAGUGAGUGAUACAAGGAAGAGUUCAAUGUGAUUGCUGUGUGAACUUGUACUAAAUCAAGCUCUUGUAUUGAAUUAGAUCACUUGCAGUGAUGCAGUUCCGUUCGCUUA